rnacentral:rRNA from 1 species
UGGGGAAUCUUGCACAAUGGGGGAAACCCUGAUGCAGCGACGCCGCGUGAACGAUGAAGCCCUUCGGGGUGUAAAGUUCUUUCGACAGGAACGAUAAUGACGGUACCUGGAGAAGAAGCUGCGGCUAACUACGUGCCAGCAGCCGCGGUAAUACGUAGGCAGCGAGCGUUGUUCGGAGUUACUGGGCGUAAAGAGUGCGUAGGCGGCGAGCCAAGUUUGGUGUGAAAGCUCCCGGCUUAACCGGGAGGGUGCGCCGAAAACUGGUUGGCUGGAGUAUGGGAGAGGAAAGCGGAAUUCCUGGUGUAGCGGUGAAAUGCGUAGAUAUCAGGAGGAA